GAUUUCUGGUACGGUUCGCCUGGUCCGCCGCCGUUUCAGGCGCGUGAGUACCGGCGCGGGCCUGCCAUCCUUCCGGGGCGCGCGCCUACCCUUCGCUGGGCCGGGCGCGCCACCCGGAUCGUUUACUUUGAAAAAAUUAGAGUGUUUAAAGCAGGCGUCGCCGCUCUGAAUACAUUAGCAUGGAAUAAUGGGAUAGGACUUGGGUUCUAUUUUGUUGGUUUCUGGGACCGAAGUAAUGAUUGAUAGGGACAGUUGGGGGUGCUGGUAUUCAGCGGCCAGAGGUGAAAUUCUUGGAUUCGCUGAAGACCAACUUAUGCGAAAGCAUU
rnacentral:rRNA from 1 species